rnacentral:rRNA from 1 species
UACGGGGGGGGCAAGCGUUGUUCGGAAUUACUGGGCGUAAAGGGCUCGUAGGCGGCCAACUAAGUCAGACGUGAAAUCCCUCGGCUUAACCGGGGAACUGCAUUUGAUACUGGAUGGCUUGAGAUUGGGAGAGGGAUGCGGAAUUCCAGGUGUAGCGGUGAAAUGCGUAGAUAUCUGGAGGAACACCGGUGGCGAAGGCGGCAUCCUGGACCAACACUGACGCUGAGGAGCGAAAGCCAGGGGAGCAAACGGG